CCAUCUUGUUUGUCACGUGAUUACCCCCUCUGAUACGGGUACACAGGUAAUGUGUGUAAUAACAACAUCAAUCACAGGGAAGUGCUGAUCACUCACUGCACCUACAGCCAGGAACAUAAUUCAUACUAUACCGGAAACGGUAUACGAAACCCGGCUUCCCAGCAUCGAGCCCCACGGUACCCACGGCGGUUCCCACGAAACUGCGGGUCACUCGUGUGUGGGAGGACGUGGCGCAUGGCCUUCGCAAGGCUAGCAUCGAUAUUCUUGGGAUCCUGUUGUUUUAGAGCAGACUAAAGAAUAUUUGCAUGGGAAAAGAAUUCUUGUCCAAGAAAUUGGAGAUGCUGUACAGGUGGAAGAUGAUUUCAGCACAACUUGAAAGGGGAAACCGAAAAGCGAUGGGACGAAGUUCGACAACCCUGACCGGGUCUGAAUGAAUUAUCUCCUCGUAUGGAUAUCGCGCCCUAUACACCAUCCACUCCACAUACUGGCGCGUUGUUGUUGAUGAGUUACACUACAUUCAGUUCUAAGUUGCUGUAUGGGAUUUACACAAUAUUCAGCCAGACGAUGUUUUUGGACUAAAUGUAGCUAAGAAACCCAACAGAAAAUGUGGAGACUUUCAGCUGUCCUUGUACCAACAAGAUAUAUCCCUCGGUACUAUGCUCACCACUUCCGGUCGCGAGGCGUCUGUCACUUUUGUCGUCAGUGGGUGGACGAAUGGGCGCGGUUUAUUGUUGCGAUACAAGCAGUGUGAAACCAAGUAAUGUUCACUUCCUGUCGCGAUAUAGACACGACUAAAUACCAUACAAUAUGCACAAGAAAAGUGGAUACAUAUUUAUAUUUUGUAGUUGCUAAAAUAAGACGAUGUUAGGCUGUUUAGUAAAUUCGAGAUAAGGAAGGACUGGGUGAUUAUUAACCAGCCUCCUGUGUUAAAACAUAAACAUGU